rnacentral:rRNA from 1 species
GAUGAACGCUGGCGGCGUGCCUAAUACAUGCAAGUCGAGCGAACGGACGAGAAGCUUGCUUCUCUGAUGUUAGCGGCGGACGGGUGAGUAACACGUGGAUAACCUACCUAUAAGACUGGGAUAACUUCGGGAAACCGUAGCUAAUACCGGAUAAUAUUUUGAACCGCAUGGUUCAAAAGUGAAAGACGGUCUUGCUGUCACUUAUAGAUGGAUCCGCGCUGCAUUAGCUAGUUGGUAAGGUAACGGCUUACCAAGGCAACGAUGCAUAGCCGACCUGAGAGGGUGAUAGGCCACACUGGAGCUGAGACACGGUCCCGACUCCUACGGGAGGCAGCAGUAGGGAAUCUUCCGCAAUGGGCGAAAGCCUGACGGAGCAACGCCGCGUGAGUGAUGAAGGUCUUCGGAUCGUAAAACUCUGUUAUUAGGGAAGAACAUAUGUGUAAGUAACUGUGCACAUCUUGACGGUACCUAAUCAGAAAGCCACGGCUGGCUACGUG